AUACCAUGAUGGGAGCAUCAUCAUAAUAGUUCUUUAAACCUUUCCCAUGCCUCAUAAAAGGACUCAUCAUCCAUCUGUUGGAAGAUAAUGAUCUUGUUCCUCAACUU
rnacentral:snoRNA from 1 species